GCGGGUCUAGCUCAGUCGGCAGAGCGCAAGCUUCCCAAGCUUGAGGUCGCGGGUUCGAUCCCCGUGACCCGCUCCA
rnacentral:tRNA from 1 species